rnacentral:rRNA from 1 species
CACUCCUACGGGAGGCAGCAGUGGGGAAUAUUGCACAAUGGGCGCAAGCCUGAUGCAGCCAUGCCGCGUGUAUGAAGAAGGCCUUCGGGUUGUAAAGUACUUUCAGCGGGGAGGAAGGCGAUAAGGUUAAUAACCUUGUCGAUUGACGUUACCCGCAGAAGAAGCACCGGCUAACUCCGUGCCAGCAGCCGCGGUAAUACGGAGGGUGCAAGCGUUAAUCGGAAUUACUGGGCGUAAAGCGCACGCAGGCGGUCUGUCAAGUCGGAUGUGAAAUCCCCGGGCUCAACCUGGGAACUGCAUUCGAAACUGGCAGGCUAGAGUCUUGUAGAGGGGGGUAGAAUUCCAGGUGUAGCGGUGAAAUGCGUAGAGAUCUGGAGGAAUACCGGUGGCGAAGGCGGCCCCCUGGACAAAGACUGACGCUCAGGUGCGAAAGCGUGGGGAGCAAACAGGAUUAGAUACCCCUGUAGUCCCAU